UUGAACGGAGGUUUGCAGGCUUGCCUGCAAAUUUUAGUAGCAAACGGGUGAGUAACACGUGAUAAUUUGCCCCUUAGAGCGGAAUAGCCUCUGGAAACGGAGAGUAAUACCGCAUAAUCCGAUAUAUAGGGAUGUAUAUCGGCAAAGAUUUAUCGCUAAGGGAUUUGCUCGCGCCAGGUUCGUUGUUGGUAGGGUAAAGGCCUACCAAGCUAUAACCUGUAGCUGGUCUGAGAGGACGAUUAGCCACACUGGGACUGAGACACGGCCCAGACUUC
rnacentral:rRNA from 1 species